GAUGAACGCUGGCGGCGUGCCUAAUACAUGCAAGUCGAGCGAACGGACGAGAAGCUUGCUUCUCUGAUGUUAGCGGCGGACGGGUGAGUAACACGUGGAUAACCUACCUAUAAGACUGGGAUAACUUCGGGAAACCGGAGCUAAUACCGGAUGAUAUUUUGAACCGCAUGGUUCAAAAGUGAAAGACGGUCUUGCUGUCACUUAUAGAUGGAUCCGCGCUGCAUUAGCUAGUUGGUAAGGUAACGGCUUACCAAGGCAACGAUGCAUAGCCGACCUGAGAGGGUGAUCGGCCAUACUGGAACUGAGACACGGUCCAGACUCCUACGGGAGGCAGCAGUAGGGAAUCUUCCGCAAUGGGCGAAAGCCUGACGGAGCAACGCCGCGUGAGUGAUGAAGGUCUUCGGAUCGUAAAACUCUGUUAUUAGGGAAGAACAUAUGUGUAAGUAACUGUGCACAUCUUGACGGUACCUAAUCAGAAAGCCACGGCUAACUACGUG
rnacentral:rRNA from 1 species